rnacentral:tRNA from 1 species
GAAAUACUAUAAAUUAAGCUUCUAACUUAAUAAAAAGCGAAUAAUUCGUUUAUAUUUCU